rnacentral:rRNA from 1 species
AUAGGUGGCAAGCGUUGUCCGGAAUUAUUGGGCGUAAAGCGCGCGCAGGUGGUUCUUUAAGUCUGAUGUGAAAGCCCCCGGCUCAACCGGGGAGGGUCAUUGGAAACUGGGGAACUUGAGUGCAGGAGAGGAAAGUGGAAUUCCACGUGUAGCGGUGAAAUGCGUAGAUAUGUGGAGGAACACCAGUGGCGAAGGCGACUUUCUGGCCUGUAACUGACACUGAGGCGCGAAAGCGUGGGGAGCAAACAGGGAUUAGAUACCCUGGUAGUCCACGCCGUAAACGAUGAGUGCUAAGUGUUGGGGGGGUUUCCGCCCCCUCAGUGCUGCAGCUAACGCAUUAAGCACUCCGCCCUGGGAGUACGGUCGCAAGACUG